rnacentral:rRNA from 1 species
UACGGAGGGAGCUAGCGUUGUUCGGAAUUACUGGGCGUAAAGAGCGUGUAGGCGGUUAGGUAGGUCCGUUGUGAAAACUCGAGGCUCAACCUCGAGACGCCGAUGGAAACCAUCUGACUAGAGUCCGGAAGAGGAGAGUGGAAUUCCUGGUGUAGCGGUGAAAUGCGCAGAUAUCAGGAAGAACACCCGUGGCUAAGGCGGCUCUCUAGUACGUGACUGACGCUGAGACGCGAAAGCGUGGGGAGCGAACAGG